GAUGAACGCUGGCGGCGUGCUUAACACAUGCAAGUCGAACGCUGAAGCUUGGUGCUUGCACUGGGUGGAUGAGUGGCGAACGGGUGAGUAAUACGUGAGUAACCUGCCCUUGACUCUGGGAUAAGCCUGGGAAACUGGGUCUAAUACUGGAUACGACAUGUCACCGCAUGGUGGUGUGUGGAAAGGGUUUUACUGGUUUUGGAUGGGCUCACGGCCUAUCAGCUUGUUGGUGGGGUAAUGGCUCACCAAGGCGACGACGGGUAGCCGGCCUGAGAGGGUGACCGGCCACACUGGGACUGAGACACGGCCCAGACUCCUACGGGAGGCAGCAGUGGGGAAUAUUGCACAAUGGGCGGAAGCCUGAUGCAGCGACGCCGCGUGAGGGAUGACGGCCUUCGGGUUGUAAACCUCUUUCAGCACGGAAGAAGCGAAAGUGACGGUACGUGCAGAAGAAGCGCCGGCUAACUACGUG
rnacentral:rRNA from 1 species